CUCGGGUGCAUCGGACCACGACUGGGAGGGCCCAGUCAGCUGGUCCUCUGUGGCUAAAAUUAAAGAGACCUCAGCUCUUACUGUAGUGUGGUCGUAUUCCCUACUGGUGACUUUAUCCCCAAAUAUCGGGUGCCCGAGGGGGCAUGGGGUCACCGGGGCCCACACUAUAAGUCGGUGCCCUGGAUUUACAUGGAGGAUUGAUGUCAUUGGAUUCUACAUCCGUGUCGUCAUUGUCAGUGCCCUCUGGCUCUUCCUCUUCGGGGUCCACUUACUGACUCGGCGGAUUCGCCUACGAGUUCUACUUCGUGUUCCUCCUGUGGUUCUUUCUCUGGGUCGUGCCACCCGACUAUUCCUUGACUAGGGAGGUAGGAUUUCCUGGCUAAUGAUACUCAUUUGUAGCGUAUUGCACGAAGGGCUAUGAAUACUAGAAACAAAUAGCAUACCAAUCACUCCUAUAACUCUACGACUAUUGCAUAGAUUCAGUUGAGGUUCCUUUCUUGGAGAUUAAGGGGUAUGAUUUUAGGUUCCUAGCUAUCACGAUUUCUUCACGACAUGUGAUGGUUGUACCUUGGAGGGAAUGUAGUUGAUCAGGCUACAUCCGCUCCUUGAUACAACUAAGAACAGUCCUGAAUUAACCGAGAUACUAGCAUUAUCUUGUUUGGUUCGGUGUUAGGUUCUCGUUCCUAAUGCAAGCAAGGGUGUUUUAUUUACUUGUUUUGUUCAGAGUUAUGUUAGUCCCUCUUUUGGUUUAUAGUUGCAUAUCAAUGUGUGGCUAGACAUGCUAGUUCACUAUAAACAAAGCUCUGAUACCAACCUGUCACACCCCCGAACCAGACGGCGGAAACGUCCGGGAGCUGUUGUGACUCAAUUGAAUACCAUCACAAUGAAUAUACAUGAAACAUAACAUCAUUCGUCACCAACAUUUGAAUAUUACAACUGAUAGCGUUUACAUUUAGUACAUUGUUCCCUAACAUUACAUGCCCAAAAAGUAGAUUGUUCGGUGCUAAUUAAACAAGCAGCAAAACGUCACUGAGUACACUUAUCCCUUCGAUUUAUCUGUUACCUGAGAAUACAAGUAUUUUGAAAAACGUCAACAUAUGAAAUGUUGGUGAGUUCAUAAGCGGUAUUUGAAAACCAACGUUUUGUAUUAUUUUGAAAAACCACCAGAAAAUCCGAUAUUUUCUGAAAAGAGUAUUUGAAAACGUUUGUGAAGAUCCAUAAGUAUGCUUGUUUGUUUCUAUAGUUGUAAAGAAAAUGUUCAUCAUACUUGUGUACGUUUUGAAAACCGUAUGUAUUGAAAAACCCUAGGAAAACCCGAUGUUUUCCUAAUUCUUUGAAUUCCAUGAAGUUAAAAUGAAACCAUUGCAACGCGUGAAGUUAUCAAUUCCAGGCGACGUCGGAUUAUUUUUGAGCAUGAUUAAUUGCUAUAAACACGCGUUACACAAACGACCAGUUUAUAACUAUACUAACGAUCCCGUAGGCGUCGUCCGUACUAAUCACGUUAUCCAACCGCCCUGACUACGUGUAGUCCCACAUCCGAAGAGAAAGAGGACACGAAGACCUCGAUGACUCCAUUAACCGGUUGGGGAUAAAAAAAAAAGUACGAGGGGUCCCAGACCCGCCUCGCAUGAAAUGUAGACUUUACUAGCAAUACCAAAGGACCCUUGGGGACCAGUAGUAUACAAGCCAUUGAAAGUCCUUUUACGUUGUGUUAGAUCGGUAAAACCCAACACUUCGUAAGAUAGAGGUCUUCGGGCCUUAAGAUCAGGUCAUUGGGCUAGCUAGGCCCAACAAACAAGAUUUUACACUUUUGGGGCCCAAAGAUGGUGCGUAGACGUCUGUGCACACUCGCAUGUAUAUUGAAUUCCCAAACGUUACUUGUAUGAAUCGUAGUGUCGUAGUGUCGUAGUGUCGUAGUGUCGUCGUGUUAGUAGUUUCGGAUUUUUAUUGGUUCGAGACCGAACCAAUUCGUUUAACAACGACUUUUGGUAUUGUAAUGUAUUGUAUUUCGUCGAUAGUCGCGGUGCCAUUAUUUGAUCAAAUUGCGUGUAUUGAAUUAGCCUUGGAAGUUUUCUGUUUUCAGCCCCUCAUUGUUUGUAAAAUUUACUUUUUCAACCCUUUAAUUAAAUAACUUUCCGGUUUGGUCCUUAAAUCAUUUUUCUUGACAUUUUAACACCAAAAAUUAUUGAAAUUAAUAUUUUUCAGCAUAUUUUUCAUUGAAAACAGUUUAAGUCCCUGAAAAUGCAGUUUUCUCGGUUAUAACCCCUCUUUUUCGCAAUUUUGACAAUUUUGGCCCAAAUUGGAAAAUUUUUGCAACUUUGGUCCUUUUUAAAUUUAAAAAGCAUUUUAAACCUUUGAAAAGGACUUGGAACACUUAUAGUCCACUGUUUUACAGAAAAACACAGUUUUGGCCCUCCAAAACAGAAAAUCUCGCAUAAUGGGCCUCAUUGGGCCGAAAAUGUCAUUUUUAGCCCAUUAAGCUUGAAAUUUAUGUUUUUAAUCCUCCAAAUGAGUAUAUUUCCAGAAAUUGUUUUAUUGAAACUGUUUUAACACACCUCAUCCAUCAGAAUUCGUGAUAUGUCAAUUUGGGCCCUUAAUUUUGUAUUUUUCACAUUUUAGGCCCAAAAUUUGUGUUUUUAACCCAAAGAAAAUUGUUACUAAACCACUUAGCCAUUUUUCUUGAAGCACUUUGUGUUUAGAAAUAUAUUUGAAGCUAAAAUCAUUUAACACAAGAUAUAUCUCGGUUUUGAUGGGUUUUAAGGCUAGAUCCAACAUAAAAACACAUAAAAGCAUACAUAUAAGCAUGGAAAUCAUACAAGGCAUACAAAACACAUAUAGAUCUACACUUUCACUUGUAUUCCCCCCCCCACAAAACUCAUAAAAACAGAAAAUAGGGGGUAUGAAGCUCACCUUAGGGUGUGAUUUCGGUUUUUGAAGAAAAGAUGGAAGAAAACUUGGUGAUUUUUGGCCUUAGCACCCUUUUCUUGAAGAUCUCGAGUUUGAGAUGGUUCUAGGAUGCAAGAUCACGAUUUUUGCAUAGAUUAGGAAAGGAUUUUGAUAAAACAAAGAAUUUAAUUCAUAGAUCCAAGCAUAACCUUACCUUGGAUGAAGAGUUGGUGGAAAUAUCCUCUUGAAAGCCUCCUAAUUUUCGAGAUUUUUGAGUGGAGAGGGAGGGAUGUUCUUGAGAGAGUUUGAGAGAUUUUUGUGAGUGUGUGUGUGUGUGAGUAUGGCCGAGAGUGAGAGAGAGAGGAAGAAGAAAUGAUAUUUGAGGUGAUGUUUGCAUGGAGAUAUGAGUUUCUUGCAUGGAAGUCCUUUGGUUAAUAGUGAGGUGGCAUGAGAAAGUCAAACCUUUCUCUUGGGCUUGAUUUGGGCCGAAAAUGUUGGAGGAAAAAGAGAAUGUUUGGGCUUUAAAUACUUAAGCCCAAUUUUCAUGGUUAAGUUGAGUGAUUUUUGGUCCAAAUAAAUUUAAAGGUGAUUUUUAUGACUAGUUAGGGUCAAAUUAGGUUAAUUAUGGUUCAUAGUCAUUAAUUUAUUUCAUUCUAGGCCCAAUAUGGCCCAAAAUGUUGAAAUAAAUUAGUGUGGGUCCAAUUAGAGCCCAAUUAGGGUUCUAAGCCCAUGAUAGUCUAAUUGGAAGCUUAUUGGUCCAUUUGGAUCCAAUAAGGAAGUCCUAGUCCAAAAUGGACUUAAACAAGGACUUCUAGGGUCUCCAAUUGUUUGAUGACUAUUUGUAGUACUUGCAUGAUGUAUUUGAUUGAAGUUUUUGAUGUCAUAAUAGUAGGUGUUACACAUGUUCUUAAGUUUUUGAUUCACAUUAACUUGAGUGUAUAGAUUACAUGACACAAAAUUUCCAGUUGUGACAUCAUCCCCCCGUUAGAGGGAAUUUCGUCCCGAAAUUCUGUUUGAAAGCUAGAUUUGAGAAUGCUAGAAUAGGUGAGGGUACUUUUGCUUCAUUUGAUCUUCGCGUUCCCACGUGAAUUCUGGCCCACGCUUUGCGUUCCACCGUACCUUCACGAUCGGGAUGCGACUUUGCUUAGUACGCUUCACCUCCCUGUCCAUGAUUUCGAUUGGUUCUUCGACGAACAGGAGAUUCUCAUUGAUUUCGAUUUCGUCAAGAGGAAUGACAAGGGUUUCAUCUGAUAGGCACUUCUUCAGAUUAGAGACAUGAAACACGGGGUGUACACCGUUUAGCUCCGCGGGUAGUUGUAGUCUGUAUGCUACUGGGCCUAUUCGGGCGACGAUUUCGAAAGGUCCAAUGUAUCGCGGGUUCAGCUUUCCCCGUUUUCCGAAACGUAUAACCCCUUUCCAGGGUGAGACUUUCAACAAUACUCGAUCACCGACCUGGAAUUCUAAGGGCUUUCGCCGUUUAUCGGCGUAGCUCUUUUGUCGGUCACGCGAUGCUUGUAAUCGAGCUCUGAUCUGAACGAUCUUUUCUGUGGUUUCGCGAAUGAUCUCCGGUCCUGUUAGUGCCCUGUCCGACGUAUGCGUUCUUGCUAGCUGGGUGUCACCUACUUCAGCCCAACAUAACGGUGAUCUACAUUUACGCCCGUACAGUGCUUCGAAAGGGGCCACCUUGAUGCUCGAAUGAUAACUAUUGUUAUAUGAGAAUUCGAUCAACGGCAGGUGGGUAUCCCAAGACUUUCCAAAGUCUAUCACACAUGCACGAAGCAUGUCUUCAAGCGUCUGAAUGGUUCGUUCGCUUUGACCGUCCGUUUGUGGGUGAUACGCGGUGCUCAUAUCAAGAUGAGUUCCCAUUGCCUUGUGGAGCGACUGCCAAAAGCGUGACGUGAACCUACUGUCCCUAUCCGAGAUGAUAGAUUUUGGCACUCCAUGAAGUCUUACGAUCUCUCGUAGGUACAAACGCGUCAGCCUCUCCAUCUUGUAGGACUCUUUGAUUGGCAGGAAAUGGGCAGAUUUCGUCAGUCGGUCGAUUAUUACCCAUAUGGUGUCCAAUCCGUCCGACGUCUUGGGCAGCUUGGUCACGAAAUCCAUAGAAAUCCCCUCCCAUUUCCACUCAGGGAUUGCCGGUUGCUGUAACAAUCCGGAAGGUUUCUGGUAUUCCACUUUUACUUUGGCGCACGUAAGGCACUUACUAACAUAAGUCGCGAUUUCCGCCUUCAUGUUAGGCCACCAAUAGUGCUGCUUAAUGUCCAAAUACAUCUUGUCCGAACCAGGAUGAAUGGAGUAUCGUGUCUUGUGGGCUUCCUUCAUAACGGUCUCCCUAAAUCCUCCGAUUUUUGGGACCCAAAUACGGUUCAUGAAGUAGUAUACCCCAUUCUCUUUGACUUCCAGGUUCUUCUCCAUUCCGCGUAAUGCCUCGCUAGUUCUAUUUUCCGCUUUCAUAGCCUCUGCCUGGACUGAUGCAAUUUGAGUGGUCAGAUGAGACUGAAUGGUUAUCGAGUGCGUUUUCGUACGGCGAUUUGUGUAUUCCUUCCGACUUAAUGCGUCAGCUACCACGUUGGCCUUGCCUGGAUGGUACUUGAUCUCGCAUUCGUAGUCGUUUAACAAUUCCACCCAUCUUCGUUGUCUCAUGUUCAGCUCCUUCUGAUUCAAGAUGUGCUGGAGGCUCUUGUGGUCCGUGAAGAUGGUGCACUUUGUACCGUACAGGUAGUGCCUCCAAAUUUUUAGAGCGAAGACCACGGCUCCCAGUUCUAGGUCAUGGGUCGUGUAAUUUACUUCGUGCGUCUUUAGUUGGCGGGACGCAUAUGCUAUCACUCUUCCACGUUGCAUGAGAACGCAACCUAAGCCUUGAUUUGACGCGUCACAGUAAACUACAAAAUCUUCCGUUCCUUCAGGUAGAGAUAGUACAGGAGCGCUGCAAAGAGCUUGCUUCAAGGUUCGAAACGCAAUCUCUUGUCGGUCUGUCCACUUGAAUGGCACACUCUUUUGCGUAAGCAAGGUAAGUGGCUUGGCGAUUUUUGAGAAGUUUUGGAUGAAUCUUCUAUAGUAGCCUGCUAGGCCUAAGAACUGACGAAUUUCUGUGGGCGUAGUCGGAGUUGCCCAUCCUUCCACAGCUUUGACCUUAGAGGGAUCCACAUGAAUUCCAUCUUGGCUAACUACGUGGCCUAGGAAAUUCACACUCCGAAGCCAGAACUCGCACUUGGAGAGUUUGGCGUAAAGCUUUUCCGUGCGCAGAGUCUCUAAAAUUUGUCGGAGAUGUCGGCCAUGCUCCUCUUUGCUUCGAGAAUAGACGAGGAUGUCAUCGAUAAACACAAUGACGAAGUUGUCCAGGAACGGUCGACAGAUUCGAUUCAUUAGGUCCAUAAAUGCGGCAGGUGCAUUUGUUAGACCGAAGGGCAUUACGACGAAUUCAUAAUGUCCAUAGCGGGUUCGGAAAGCGGUUUUAGGAAUAUCCUCUUCUCGGACUUUGAGUUGGUGGUAUCCGGACCGUAAAUCUAUUUUAGAAAAAUAGCUAGCUCCUUGGAGCUGGUCGAAUAGAUCAUCGAUUCGCGGGAGUGGGUAGCGGUUUUUAACAGUGAGUUUAUUUAACUCUCUGUAAUCGAUGCACAUUCUGAAAGAUCCGUCCUUCUUUUUGACAAAGAGCACCGGAGCUCCCCAUGGCGAGUAGCUAGGUCGGAUAAAUCCCUUGUCCAGAAGCUCACUGAGUUGGCUGGAUAAUUCCUGCAUUUCAGCAGGUGCCAACCGAUAUGGUGAUUUAGCGAGGGGAGUUGCUCCUGGAACGAGGUCGAUUCGGAAUUCAACCUGUCUCUCUGGGGGUACUCCUGGAAGAUCUUCGGGAAACACGUCCGGAAAUUCACACGCUACCGGAAUGUCUUGGAUGUUAGUUUCUUCUUUGGUCUUGUCCACUAUGUGAGCCAAGAACGCCAAAUUGUUCUUUCGCAAGUGUUUUUGCGCUUUGAUGCACGAGAUGAGGCGGAGAUUCGUACUGGGUUUGUCUCCGUAAAUUACUAGGGUUUCGUGAUUUGGGAGACGAAGGCGAACGGCCUUCUCGUGGCACAUAAUCUCAGCAUGGUGGGGGCUUAACCAAUCCAUGCCGAUAAUCACAUCGAAACUCCUAAUUGAUACUGGCAUUAGGUCUAUUCGAAAGACGUGCUGGUUAAGGGUUAGGGUACAUCCGAUGUAGAUCUCCCUAGUGGAUUCGGUUUUCCCAUUGGCCAUUUCCACCGUAUAGGUUUCAUUUAGCUUCUGGGGUUGUUGUUUUAGUAAAUGUUUAAACUUCUCGCUUACGAAACUUCGCUCCGCUCCGGUAUCAAAUAAGAUGCAUGCAUAAGUGUGGUUUAGGAGAAACGUACCGGUCACAACUGCGGGAUCUUGAACUGCAUCACUCUGACCCAUAGUCAGCAUUCUUCCUGUUCCUCUGUUUCCGGAGUUGUUGUUGUUGUUAGGGCAAUCUCGACGGAAAUGUCCCGUCCUUCCACACCCGAAACAGGUGUGGCUAGGCCCUGCGUUGUUGCCGCCGGCAUUGGUGUUGUUGAUGUUGCGGUGAUUGUUGUUGUUGUUCUGGUUGUUUCCCUGACUCUGGUUCUGAGAAGGAUAAGUCCUGCAGAACUUUGCAGUGUGUCCCCUUCGGUUGCAACUGGUGCAAUGGAACUCCUUACAUUCUCCAUGAUGAUGGAAACUGCACUUAUUGCACUUGGGAGCGCUACCAGAAUAGGGCCUUGAAGCAUUUGAAGCAGCUGAGGCUGGAGCAUGUGAGGUGACUGGAACCGGCGCAGUAACAGCGUUAACUGCCACUGUUUGUUGCCUUUUUGAGGUCUCGGGGCCCUGACGCCCCUUUCUUUUGUGGUUCCAUCCCUUCUUACCAUCCCCCUCCUUCUUCUUCUCGGUCUCCACUGGUUUUUCGCCCUUUUUGUGGUUAUGAUCAUAUAGCCUCUUUGCCAAUCUCUUCGCGCUGUCAAACGUUUCAGGGUUAGCAGCUAUCACAUUCCCUUGAAUGGGGGAUGUCAGUCCCCAGAUGAAUCGUUCAAUCUUCUUUCCCUCUGAUGUGAUCAUACCCGGGCACAACAGGGAUAGUUCGCUGAAUCUCGAUAUGUAAGCAUCGAUGUUCCCAUUCUGCACCGUGAGAUUCCAAAGCUCCUGCUCCAUCUUCUGUAUUUCACCUCGGGGGCAGUACUCAGCCGUCAACAUCUCUUUCAUUUCUGUCCAGGGUAUAGAGUUGGCAACAGGGAGUGUCAUAGCUUCUAUGUGACCAUUCCACCAAGUGAGUGCUUGGUCCACAAAAGUGCAGGCCGCGAACUUCACCUUCAUCUGCUCGGGGCACUCGCAUAUCUCGAACACCGACUCUACCUUCUCGAUCCAUCGCUUUAGAGCGAUCACUCCCCCAGUGCCGUUGAAAGUUCGGGGUUUAGCGUUCGCAAAAUCCUUGUAGGUGCACGUUUUAGUGAGUCCUUGGUUCGUCCCGUUGUUCGAACUUCCGGAGCCUUGACCAUUGCCUCCUCCAUUGUUUCCUCGGUGAAGUUGUGCCAUAGCUGCUGUGACCGCAGCAGACACGGCUGCCUGGAAAGCAGUGGAGUCAACUUCGGGCGGGAUUGGUUCGGGAUUUCCGCGAGUAGCUGGGCGAGGCAUCUUUCUGUCAUGAAACGGAAAGAUGUUGAGUGUACGUGGUUUCGGUGAGGUUAUGAUCCUACUAACUAGGUGUAGGGUACGAACCUAAGCAUUACUAUCAUCAAGCAUACAAUCAUAACGCCUCAACAUAUAACAACUGAGAAUAUCAUAGCAAAACACACAAAAGUUUAUUAAUAUUAUCCGUGUUUAGUACAAGAAAAUUUGCUCGUAAGAGCAUACAUAAGUAACACUAAUCCGACAGCAUAACGGCUCCAUGAGUAGUGUAGUCACUUAAACAUAGAGCCGGAGUACAUAACAUAGUUACUAAUAUCCUACUACGAUAGGUCUAUCCCUAACCGCGAUGAGCUGCGUCAGGAGGUGGUGCCGAAGUCAUAUGCCGAAAUGUUGCGCCAGUAGCUGCGCCAUCUCUGCCAUGUCUCCUAUAACUUCAUCCCUCUCGUGCUCUGCUCUCACUGCCCGAGCUUCCAUAGCAUACAGCUGUUGUCGCAGUGCGGCGAUCUCAGCUUCGAGGGAACGGUUCUCCCUUGGGGGGUUCACUGGUGGAGCGGGGUGAUCUGGUUGUGCCUCGUCCUCGCAUGGCGGGAUGGGGUCCUGGCCCCCGACCUGACCCUCCUCGUCGUCAUCGUCGACCUCUCCAAAUUCGUAGUCGGUGUCUAUAUAUUCGUCGGGUUCGACGUCGUGUGCUUCUCCUGGAUGCUCUCCCGGCUCAUCCACCAGCAUCCCGUGAGCUACUAAGGCCUGAUGAAACUGGAUACCCGGCUGCUCCUCCUCAGGCUCCUCCUCCUCCUCUAGCCACCCGUUGUUUCCCUGAUUAGGGAAGUAGGGGUCUCCAGGGUGAUGAAAACCAGCCAUGCUGUCUGCGCGAGUACGUAAUUAUGCUACAUUAUUCCUAGGGUACUAUGACUAUUACACAGACUAAGCAAAUAUUCUCUUUUUGGGUGAUAUAGGGUAAAAUUUUUAGGUUCCCUGGCUAUUCCGAUCUCAUCAAGACAUGUGUUAGUUUUACCUUGGAGAGAAUGUAGUUGAUCAGGCUACAUUCACUCCUUGGUAUCACUAAGAACAGUCCCGAAUUAACCGAGAUACCAGUAUUAUGGUGUUUGAUUCAGCGUUAGGUCCUUACUCCUAAUGCAAGCAAGUGUAUUUUAUUCAUUUGUUUUGUUCAGAGUUAUGUUAGUCCCUCUUUUUGGUUUAUAGUUGCAUAUCAAUGUAUGGCUCGACAUGCUAGUUCACUAUAAACAAAGCUCUGAUACCAACCUGUCACACCCCCGAACCAGACGGCGGAAACGUCCGGGGGCUGUCGUGACUCAAUUGAAUACCAUAACAUUGAAUAUAUAUGAAACAAAACAACAUUCGUCACCAUUCAUCAACAUAGUACAACCAGUAGUGUUUACAUGUCAUACAUUGUUUAAGACAUUACAUUUCCAAAAAUUAAUGUUGUUUGGUUCAUUCAAAAAUAAACUGCAACCGUCACUGAGUAUGAUUUCCCUUGAUUCACUGGUUCCCUGAGAAUACAAGUAUUUUGAAAAACGUCAACAUAUGAAAUGUUGGUGAGUUCAUAAGUAGUGUUUGAAAUCGAAUGUUUAUAUUGUUUGAAAAACCACCAGAAAAUCCGAUAUUUUCUGAAAAGAAAAGCUUUCAAAAACGUUUGUGAAGAUCCAUAGGUAUGCUUGUUUGUUUCUAUACUUGCAAAAAUUGUUCAUUUAAGAUGUAUGCGUUUAAAAUCUGUAUGUGAUAAAAACCCUAGGGAAACCCGAUGUUCCCCUAGUUCUUUUGAAAUCCAUUGAGUUGCGUUGAAACCAUUACAAAAAUAGUAGUAUCGGUCCCAAGCGACGUUGGAAGGUUCUCGAGCAUUGAUUAUUUACUACAAACCCGCAUUACACAAAUGCCCGGUUUAUAGAUAUACCAACGAUUCCCGAAGGCGUCGUCAGUACUAAUCACGUUAUCCAAUCGCCCGGACUAUGAGUGGUCCCACAUCCGAAGAGAAAGAGGUCACGAAGACCCCGGUAACUCUAUUAACCGGCUGGGGAAAAAUGUGUGCGAGGGGUCCCCGACCCGCCUCGUAAAAUGUGUAGACUUUUCUAGCAAUACCAUGGCCCUUGGGGUCCAAUGAUACAAGCCAUUGAAAGUCACCCUACGUUGUGCCAAGUCGGUAAAACUCAACACUUCGUAGAAAAAAAAUGUCUUCGGGCCUUAAGAUCAGGUCAUUGGGCUAGCUAGGCCCAACAAACAAGAUUUUACACUUUUGGGGCCCAAAGAUGGUGCGUAGACGUCUGUGCACUCUCACGUGCAUAUUGAAUUACCAAAUGUUUUCGUGUAUGAAUCGAGUUAUCGUCGUGUUAGUAUUCUUUUGGAUUGUUAUUGAUUCGAGACCGAAUCAAUUCGUUUAACAACGAUUUUUGGUAUUGUUGUGUAUUGUACUACGUAGGUAGUCGCAGUGCCAUUAUUUGAUCAAUUUGCGUGUAUUGAAUUAGCCUUGAAAGUUUUCUGUUUUCAGCCCCUCAUUGUUUGUAAAAUUUACUUUUUCAACCCUCUAAUUAAAUAACUUUCCGGUUUGGUCCUUAAAUCAUUUUUCUUGACAUUUUAACACCAAAAAUUAUUGAAAUUAAUAUUUUUC
rnacentral:lncRNA from 1 species